rnacentral:lncRNA from 1 species
UUCUGAGGGGGAGGACAGGGGUAAGGGAGACAGGGAGAAAGGGGGUAGGAGAAAGGAGAAAGGGGGUGGGAGAAAGGAGAAAGGGGGUAGGAGAAAGGAGAGGAAGGCUGGGAGAAAGGAGAAAAAGUUUGAGAAAGGAGAAAAAAUAAAAUAUCUCUCCUUUUAAAAAAAUUUCUAAUAUUUCAAGAAAAAAUAUCUCAAAAGGAGAUGUUUUAUUCUAAUGGGAGAAAGGAGAACGGGGGUAGGAGAAAGGAGAAGAGGGAUGGGAGAAGGGAGAAGGGUACCCCCCUGUCCUCCCCCUCCCUUCU